AACGAACGCUGGCGGCAGGCCUAACACAUGCAAGUCGAAUGUUGCAGUAAUGCGACAUGGCAGACGGGUGAGUAACACGUGCUUAAUUUACCCCGGAGUGGGGGACAACAUCGGAAACGGUGAUAAUCCCGCAUACGUUCCAUAAAAUGAAAAUAUAUGGAAGAAAGAUUUAUCGCUCUGGGAGAAGGGCGCGGCUGACUAGUUAGUUGGUGAGGUAAUGGCUCACCAAGACGAUGAUCAGUAGCUGGUCUGAGAGGACGAACAGCCACAAUGGGACUGAGACAAGGCCCAUACCCCUACGGGGGGCAGCAGUGGGGAAUCUUGCGCAAUGGACGAAAGUCUGACGCAGCGAUCUCGCGUGAAGGAUGAAG
rnacentral:rRNA from 1 species